rnacentral:tRNA from 1 species
GGGGAUGUAGCUCAAUGGUAGAGCACUUGCCUAGUAUGCUGGAGGCCCUGAAUUCCAUCCCCA